rnacentral:ncRNA from 1 species
UUAAAAAAUAGAUUGAUUCUGUCUAUAAUAAGUAAUUAAUAGGUAAUUUUACAUGUGAAUUUUUGUGAGGUCUUUAUUUCUCUUAAAGAGUUUAAUUAAUAUAUUCGCAGUUGAAAAUUUUAUUAAAAUAAAUUAUUUUAGUAUUAGUUAAUUUUUAGAGAGUGGUUAAAAAUUGUGCCAGCAAACGCGGUUAUACAAUUCAUUCUAGUUAUUUUUUUUAUAAAAUAUUUAGUUAAUUUUUUUAUGAAAUUUAAUUUAAAUUUAUUAGGUGAAAUUUUAAAUUUAUCAUAGUUUUUGGUUUAAUAUUAAAUGUGAAAUUCAAGUUUUGAAACUAGGAUUAGAUACCCUAUUAUUUUGAAUUUAAAUAAUUUAAUUUAUUGGUAUUAAUAGUUAUGGUCUUUAAAUUAAAAGAUUUUGGCGGUAAUUUAAUCUCUUUAGAGGAAUCUGUUCUGUAAUCGAUAGUCCACGUUGGAUUUAACUUUAUUUUGGUUUGUAUAUCUCUGUCAUUAGAAUGUUUUAUUAGAAUUUAAUUUUCUUUAAUUAUUAUUUAAAAAAUGUCAGGUCAAGGUGCAGCAAUAUUAAAGGUUGAAAUGGAUUACAUUUAAUGUAUUUUAUUGGAUUAUUAUAAUUAAUAUUUUUUAUGAAAAAGGAUUUAAAAGUAAAUUUUAGUAUCUUCUAAUUUUGAUUUAAGCACUAAAUUAUGCACAUAUCGCCCGUCACUCUCAUUAAGGUGAGAUAAGUCGUAACAAAGUAAUUCUAUUGGAAAGUGGAGUUGGAUUAUUA